rnacentral:rRNA from 1 species
CCUACGGGAGGCAGCAGCCAGGAAUCUUGGGCAAUGGGCGCAAGCCUGACCCAGCAACACCGUGUGGGCGAUGAGGGCCUUCGGGUCGUAAAGCCCUGUUGAUAGGGACGAAGGGCGAAGGGUUAAUAGCCCCUAGCCUGACGGUACCUUUCGAGGAAGCCCCGGCUAACUACGUGCCAGCAGCCGCGGUAAUACGUAGGGACCGAGCGUUGUCCGGAAUUAUUGGGCGUAAAGAGCGUGUAGGCGGUUCGGUAAGUCUGCCGUGAAAACCUGAGGCUCAACCUCGGGCGUGCGGUGGAUACUGCCGGGCUAGAGGACGGUAGAGGCGAGUGGAAUUCCCGGUGUAGCGGUGAAAUGCGCAGAUAUCGGGAGGAACACCAGUAGCGAAGGCGGCUCGCUGGGCCGUUCCUGACGCUGAGACGCGAAAGCUAGGGGAGCGAACAGGAUUAGAUACCCUGGUAGUCCUAGCCGUAAACGAUGGACACUAGGUGUGGGGGGAGUCGAAUCCCUCUGUGCCGCAGUUAACGCGUUAAGUGUCCCGCCUGGGGAGUACGGCCGCAAGGCUAAAACUCAAAAGAAUUGACGGGGGCCCGCACAAGCAGCGGAGCAUGUUCUUUAAUUCGAAGCAACGCGAAGAACCUUACCUGGACUUGACAUGGUGCUGCAAGCGCACGGAAACGUGUGACCUUCGAGGGUGCACCACAGAUGCUGCAUGGCUGUCGUCAGCUCGUGUCGUGAGAUGUUGGGUUAAGUCCCGCAACGAGCGCAACCCCUGUGGCGUGUUGCCAUCAUUUAGUUGGGGACUCACGCCAGACUGCCGGUGACAAACCGGAGGAAGGUGGGGGAUGAGGUCAAGUCAUCAUGGCUCUUACGUCCAGGCUAGAAACGUGCUACAAUGGCUGAUACAAAGGGUUGCAAGACCGCAAGGUGGAGCGAAUCUCAUCAAAGUCAGUCUAAGUUCGGAUCGCAGUCUGCAACUCGACUGGUGUGAAGGCGGAGUUGCUAGUAAUCGCGGGAUCAGCAUGCCGCCGGGUGAAUAC